rnacentral:rRNA from 1 species
AUUGAACGCUGGCGGCAGGCCUAACACAUGCAAGUCGAACGAGUGGCGGACGGGUGAGUAAUGUCUGGGAAACUGCCUGAUGGAGGGGGAUAACUACUGGAAACGGUAGCUAAUACCGCAUACCAUCGGAUGUGCCCAGAUGGGAUUAGCUAGUAGGUGGGGUAAAGGCUCACCUAGGCGACGAUCCCUAGCUGGUCUGAGAGGAUGACCAGUCACAAGGGAACUGGGACACGGUCCAGAGUCGUACGGGAGGCAGCCGGGGGGAAGAUUGCACAAUGGGCGCAAGCCUGAUGCAGCCAUGCAGCGUGUAUGAAGACGGCCUUUGGGUUUUCAAGUACUUUCAUCGGGGAGGCGUUACCCGCAGAAGAAGCACAGGCUAACUCCGUGCCAGCCGCCGCGGUAAUUC